rnacentral:sRNA from 1 species
GUUUUUCUUGUUUAAUGCGGGGUAAGACUUAGGACAAAGAGAAAAAUGAAAUGAAAACGGAUGGCUGGCAAGUGGAAAGAUUUUGGCCCAGUUGCCUGCCAGAGAAGCACAAUGAAGCGAAUGUGGCGAUAGGAAGCUCCAGGAGAAGAUUGCUCCUGCUAGCAUUUAGAUAAGUUGGUAAAACGGUCUAGGACCGUCCGACGAUUUAUCCCAAGAAGUAGGCAAUAUAUUUGCCAUUAUCCGAUGAGCAGCUGGCCAAAUGCAUUCCUUAAGGAUUUCCGGAAUAUAUCGACAGCAUGCUUGACUUGGGAUAAUCUGCCUCGAGGGAGCCGGCACUUGACCACUCGACCCAUUUGAAUCCGAGUAAGCGGCUUAUCCGGAAAACACCAAAUGGGAUGACGUACAGCCAAGUGGAGCUCAUAAACUGUGCGGGCGUCGCACCAAAUCCAUUUGCAACCUUGUUUACGCUGCGUAUGGGUAACAAAUCAACGGAGCGAGGAACACGGAGCAGUACAGAGUGCAACCACAAGCAAAAUGCCUGAUUGGCAACAUAAAUCAGAGGGGACAGGCAGCUACACAGCCGCAGCAGCAGCCACAACACCUGUCCCGCCCCUUUUUCGUUCCGCCCCGAUCCCCGCCUGAAAGCCCGACAGUUGGGAUGGCCGCAAAAUAGUACCCCCAAAAAACGGCGGGAAUGGAGGACAGGCAUCGCAUACCAAAGCUUGGAAUACCCUCCCAGAUACCCGAUACGGUGCUGUGGCUUAUGCCGAACCAAAAAGUAUG